GUCAGUGAGUGCACGGUUGAACGCGGGAAGAGUGAAUGCACAGAAAGCCAUUGUUACAGAUGAUUUUGAGGAGUAGGAGCAGGGAGCGACAGAGGUUGUGAUGCCAUCUGCAUCACAGCUAUAAUGUGAUUUUGGAGAAGGCUCGGUUGAUUGAUACAUGGUGGUUCAGGCGACGAAAUGCUUGAGUGGAUGGAGGAGAUGGAGAGGGAGCUGCGUUGCCUUGUGGAGAUGCCGGAUGACCUGAGGGAUAUGAACGGAGCCAGAACAAUGCGGCGCAACGGACGGAGACAGCAUCUUCACUGCCGGGACCAGAGAGAAAAUUGCGGGCCACUAUACGUCGCGGGUCGAUAGCCAAAGAGCAACAGAAGAUCCUGAAAUCGAGUUGUUGCGUCGUGCUUCUAAAAACUGAAAAUUAAGAAUUUGUAAUGUUUCUACAUCAAUGAUGUCAUAGAAAGUUUAAUCGUGUUGUAAAUGUUCAGUCCUAUCUUGU